rnacentral:rRNA from 1 species
CAGCCCUAAACGAUGCGCGUUAGGUGUAUCGGUGACCACGAGUCACCGAGGUGCCGAAGGGAAACCGUGAAACGUGCCGCCUGGGAAGUACGGUCGCAAGGCUGAAACUUAAAGGAAUUGGCGGGGGAGCACUACAACGGGUGGAGCUUGCGGUUUAAUUGGAUUCAACGCCGGAAAUCUUACCGGGACCGACAGCAACAUGAAGGCCAAGCUGAAGACUUUGCCGGAUUAGCUGAGAGGAGGUGCAUGGCGUAGACGUCU